rnacentral:lncRNA from 1 species
AUGUCCACGUGGUUGCUGAAGGUUCCAAGGAGAUGUGAAAGGCAGCCUGUGCCAGUGCCUGUCCCCCACAGCACAGAAGUACCUGAGGUAGUUACAGCUGACCCUACUUCAUGGUAUGGAUCUGGUUCAAGGAAGAAAAGAACUAUUGUGGAAAUGAAGGCCAUCACAAAGGUACAAGUCAGUCAGGAGCCAGCAGGAGCUACCACCAGGCUGCAUCUGACCAGCAACAGAAAAUCCAAUUGUUCUGGAAGGCAAAGGGAACACAAGGGUGUAGGAAGAAGUUGUGAUACAGCUCAGACAGAUACAAACAAGACUGUGGAGUUAGAUAUAUGUAACACCUCAUUUGCAGAGAAAUAUCCCCUACAAGACAGAAAGAUGCUGCCUCUAAUCACACGGCCCAAGUGUGAUGUUGUGAGACUGAAAUGGACAACCAGACCGUAUGAUCAGCCUUCUUUUAUGAGAACACUAUGUCAGUCAGUCAGUUUAUGA